GAGCCCGUAGCUCAACGGUAGAGCAUCUGACUUUUAAUCAGAGGGUCGUCGGUUCGACACCGACCGGGCUCACCA
rnacentral:tRNA from 1 species